rnacentral:rRNA from 1 species
ACUCCUACGGGAGGCAGCAGUGGGGAAUAUUGCACAAUGGGGGAAACCCUGAUGCAGCCAUGCCGCGUGUGUGAAGAAGGCCUUCGGGUUGUAAAGCACUUUCAGUAGGGAGGAAGGUAGUGUAGUUAACACCUGCAUUAUUUGACGUUACCUACAGAAGAAGCACCGGCUAACUCCGUGCCAGCAGCCGCGGUAAUACGGAGGGUGCGAGCGUUAAUCGGAAUUACUGGGCGUAAAGCGCAUGCAGGCGGCCUGUUAAGUCAGAUGUGAAAGCCCGGGGCUUAACCUCGGAAUUGCAUUUGAAACUGGCAGGCUAGAGUCUUGUAGAGGGGGGUAGAAUUCAGGUGUAGCGGUGAAAUGCGUAGAGAU